GCUCUGUCAAAACCCAAGUCCUUUCUUGGCUCCGUGUCAGGCGGGGUGGUCAGCAGGGGUCACCUGGCUCUUCUGUCUUUGCAGGGCCCCCUGCUGCGCUGGCUCAAGGUGAACUUCAGCGAAGCCUUCAUUGCCUGGAUCCACAUCAAGGCCCUGAGAGUGUUUGUGGAGUCCGUGCUCAGGUAUGGACUACCAGUGAACUUCCAGGCAGUGCUCCUGCAGCCGCAUAAGAAGUCAUCCACCAAGCGUUUAAGAGAGGUUCUAAACUCUGUCUUCCGACAUCUGGAUGAAGUAGCCGCUACAAGUAUACUGGAUGCAUCUGUGGAGAUCCCGGGACUGCAACUCAAUAACCAAGACUAUUUUCCUUAUGUCUACUUCCAUAUUG
rnacentral:sRNA from 1 species